GAGUUUGAUUCUGGCUCAGGACAAACGCUGGCGGCGUGCAUAACACAUGCAAGUCGAACGAAAUCUACAUGAUUUAGUGGCGAACGGGUGAGUAACACGUGAGAAACCUGCCUUACACAGAGGGAUAGCCGUUGGAAACGACGAUUAAUACCUCAUGACACCGUGACAUCGCAUGAUGAUGCGGUCAAAGAUUUAUCGGUGUAAGAUGGUCUCGCGCCUGAUUAGCUGGUUGGUGGGGUAACGGCCUACCAAGGCGACGAUCAGUAGCCGAUCUGAGAGGGUGGACGGCCACAUUGGGACUGAGACACGGCCCAAACUCCUACGGGAGGCAGCAGUGGGGGAUUUUGCACAAUGGGGGGAACCCUGAUGCAGCGACGCCGCGUGAACGAAGAAGGCCUUCGGGUUGUAAAGUUCUGUCCUUGGUGAAGAUAAUGACA
rnacentral:rRNA from 1 species